rnacentral:rRNA from 1 species
CGUAGGGGGCUAGCGUUGUCCGGAUUUAUUGGGCGUAAAGAGCGUGUAGGCGGCCAGGUAGGUCUGCUGUGAAAACUCGAGGCUCAACCUCGAGACGUCGGCGGAAACCAUCUGGCUAGAGUCCGGAAGAGGAGAGUGGAAUUCCCUGGUGUAGCGGUGAAAUGCGCAGAUAUCAGGAGGAACAUCAGUUGCGAAGGCGGCUCUCUGGACCAGCACUGACACUGGAGGCACGAAAGCGUGGGGAGCAAACACGG